GAUGAACGCUGGCGGCGUGCCUAAUACAUGCAAGUCGAGCGAACAGACGAGGAGCUUGCUCCUCUGACGUUAGCGGCGGACGGGUGAGUAACACGUGGAUAACCUACCUAUAAGACUGGGAUAACUUCGGGAAACCGGAGCUAAUACCGGAUAAUAUAUUGAACCGCAUGGUUCAAUAGUGAAAGACGGUUUUGCUGUCACUUAUAGAUGGAUCCGCGCCGCAUUAGCUAGUUGGUAAGGUAACGGCUUACCAAGGCAACGAUGCGUAGCCGACCUGAGAGGGUGAUCGGCCACACUGGAACUGAGACACGGUCCAGACUGCUACGGGAGGCAGCAGUAGGGAAUCUUCCGCAAUGGGCGAAAGCCUGACGGAGCAACGCCGCGUGAGUGAUGAAGGUCUUCGGAUCGGAAAACUCUGUUAUUAGGGAAGAACAAAUGUGUAAGUAACUAUGCACGUCUUGACGGUACAUAAUCAGAAAGCCACGGCUAACUACGUG
rnacentral:rRNA from 1 species